rnacentral:lncRNA from 1 species
GUGGCUAGGAAAAACUCCCUAGGAAAAACUCCCUAGAAAGGCCAAAAACCUAGGAAGAAACCUAGAGAGGAACCAGGCUAUGAGGGGUGGCCAGUCCUCUUCUGGCUGUGCAGGGUGGAUAUUAUAACAGAACAUGGUCAAGAUGUUAAAAUGUUAAAAUGUUCAUAAAUGACCAGCAUGGUCAAAUAAUAAUAAUCAUAGUAGUUGUCGAGGGUGCAACAAGCACGUCCGGUGAACAGGUCAGGGUUCCAUAGCUGCAGGCAGAACAGUUGGAACUGGAGCAGCAGCACGGCCAGGUGAACUGGGGACAGCAAGGAGUCAUCAAGCCAGGUAGUCCUGAGGCAUGGUCCUAGGGCUCAGGUCCUCCGAGAGAGAGAAAG